AUGAACGCUGGCGGCGUGCCUAAUACAUGCAAGUCGAGCGAACGGACGAGAAGCUUGCUUUUCUGAUGUUAGCGGCGGACGGGUGAGUAACACGUGGAUAGCCUACCUAUAAGACUGGGAUAACUUCGGGAAACCGGAGCUAAUACCGGAUAAUAUUUUGAACCGCAUGGUUCAAAAGUGAAAGACGGUCUUGCUGUCACUUAUAGAUGGAUCCGCGCUGCAUUAGCUAGUUGGUAAGGUAACGGCUUACCAAGGCAACGAUGCAUAGCCGACCUGAGAGGGUGAUCGGCCACACUGGAACUGAGACACGGUCCAGACUCCUACGGGAGGCAGCAGUAGGGAAUCUUCCGCAAUGGGCGAAAGCCUGACGGAGCAACGCCGCGUGAGUGAUGAAGGUCUUCGGAUCGUAAAACUCUGUUAUUAGGGAAGAACAUAUGUGUAAGUAACUGUGCACAUCUUGACGGUACCUAAUCAGAAAGCCACGGCUAACUACGUG
rnacentral:rRNA from 1 species